rnacentral:rRNA from 1 species
AUUGAACGCUGGCGGCAGGCCUAACACAUGCAAGUCGAACGAGUGGCGGACGGGUGAGUAAUGUCUGGGAAACUGCCUGAUGGAGGGGGAUAACUACUGGAAACGGUAGCUAAUACCGCAUACCAUCGGAUGUGCCAAGAUGGGAUUAGCUAGUAGGUGGGGUAAAGGCUCACCUAGGCGACGAUCCCUCGCUGGUCUGAGAGGAUGACCAGCCACACUGGAACUGAGACACGGUCCAGACUCCUACGGGGGGCAGCAUGGGGGAAUCUUGCACAAUGGGCGAAAGCCUGAUGCAGCCAUGCCGCGUGUGUGAAGAAGGCCUUCGGGUUGUAAAGUACUUUCAUCGGGGAGGCGUUACCCACAGAAGAAGCACCGGCUAACUCCGUGCCAGCAGCCGCGGUAAUUC